rnacentral:tRNA from 1 species
GUCUCGAUGGUGUAGUGGAUAGCAUCGGACCCUCCGAAGGUCUGGGCCCUGGUUCAAAUCCAGGUCGCGAUACUA